rnacentral:rRNA from 1 species
GACGAACGCUGGCGGCGUGCCUAAUACAUGCAAGUCGAACGCUGAAGGAGGAGCUUGCUUCUCUGGAUGAGUUGCGAACGGGUGAGUAACGCGUAGGUAACCUGCCUGGUAGCGGGGGAUAACUAUUGGAAACGAUAGCUAAUACCGCAUAAGAGUAGAUGUCGCAUGACAUUUGCUUAAAAGGUGCAAUUGCAUCACUACCAGAUGGACCUGCGUUGUAUUAGCUAGUUGGUGAGGUAACGGCUCACCAAGGCAACGAUACAUAGCCGACCUGAGAGGGGUAUUCGCCACACUUGGAACUAGACACCGCCCCGACCUCCAAGGGAGGGAGCCGGAGGGAAUUCUUCGGAAUUGACCGAAGGUUUACCGGGCAACGGCGGGUGAGUGAAGAAGGGUUUCGGAUCGUAAAGCUCUGUUGUAAGAGAAGAACGAGUGUGAGAGUGGAAAGUUCACACUGUGACGGUAUCUUACCAGAAAGGGACGGCUAACUACGUG